UACGAAGGGUGCAAGCGUUAAUCGGAAUUACUGGGCGUAAAGCGCGCGUAGGUGGUUCAGUAAGUUUGAAGUGAAAUCCCCGGGCUCAACCUGGGAACUGCUUUCAAAACUGCUGAGCUAGAGUACGGUAGAGGGUGGUGGAAUUUCCUGUGUAGCGGUGAAAUGCGUAGAUAUAGGAAGGAACACCAGUGGCGAAGGCGACCACCUGGACUGAUACUGACACUGAGGUGCGAAAGCGUGGGGAGCAAACAGG
rnacentral:rRNA from 1 species